GUGGCUUGUUGCAUACGUACUUGGUGAUUCCUCCUUGGGCUCCUUGGGCUGGUUUCCUCUUCUACUGAUGGCAAAGUGAAUGUAUCUGUGCAUUGCCAAGUGGCCCUCCCACCCCUGCUCAACGUCUCGUCAUACAUUAUAAUGAGCAGCAACCUCAGCUCUAUGGGGGUAGCCUCAGAAUCUUCCUCCAAGCUAUGACUUUGCGAUGCAGGCAGAAGGACAGGGAAUUGUGUGUGCUUCCUUUUUACCUCUCUCUUUUACUCUCAGCAGACCACUCAAAUGAUGAUGAGCUGCCAAGCUAUAAAUCCUUGAAGAUUCUCUGGCCAGGGAAGCUAUGAAAAAGGAGAGAACUGGUAGGGAGAAAAGAUAGGAGAGCAACACACAUCUUUGCUUCAGGGAUCCAAGGAGGACUACCACAUGAUGAUUUGAAGCUGAACACACCUAUGUCUUGGCUUAUGUCUACACAUCAAGGAAUCAGCUGAGCAGGAAGACUGCCUUGAAGAAACAGAAUCUGCUAUAAGAAUACUAUCAGGAAAGAAUGGUCAAGUCAGGUGAAACCGCUGCUGUUGUAUGACUGCUGAUAUAAUCGUGUACCUGGACUAUCUGCGGCUGCCUUUUCCAGCACCUUCCUGUGGACCGCUCCAGGGCACUCUCUAGAAGCCAGAAUGGACUCCUGCUGAUUCUCUCGCAUAUUUGUCUUGAAUGAAAGAAUGGCGUAUGCCAGUGGAUUUCAAAGCUUCUCACAAAACAUCUUCACAUCUGAAGUCUCAAGAGUUUAUGUCAAGCAUUUGUAUUACUUACAACUAAUUAAAUAUACCAUUCCUGUUUUACAACAUGAACACAUCUGCUGAUAAUGUUGUAACUUGUAUUAUUAUUAUUUGUUUGAAACAAUACAUUA
rnacentral:lncRNA from 1 species